AACGAACGCUGGCGGCAUGCCUAACACAUGCAAGUCGAACGAGACCUUCGAGUCUAGUGGCGCACGGGUGCGUAACGCGGGGGAACCUGCCCUUAGGUUCGGAAUAACUCCCCGAGAGGGGUGCUAAGACCGGAUAAUGUCUUCGGACCAAAGAUUUAUCGCCUUUGGGUGGGCCCGCGUUGGAUUAGCUAGUUGGUAGGGUAAAAGCCUACCAAGGCGACGAUCCAUAGCUGGUCUGAGAGGAUGCUCAGCCACACUUGGACUGAGACACGGCCCACACUGGUACGGGAGGGAGCAGUGGGGAAUACUGGACACGGGGCGAAGGUCCGAUAAAGCCAUGCGGCGUGAGUGAUGAAGGCCUUAGGGUUGCACAGCCCUUUUAGCCGGGACGAUAAUGACAGUACCGGGAGAAUAAGCACCGGCUAACUACGUG
rnacentral:rRNA from 1 species